rnacentral:rRNA from 1 species
AUUGAACGCUGGCGGCAGGCCUAACACAUGCAAGUCGAACGGUAGCACAGAGCGCUUGCUCUCGGGUGACGAGUGGCGGACGGGUGAGUACUGUCUGGGAAACUGCCUGAUGGAGGGGGAUAACUACUGGAAACGGUAGCUAAUACCGCAUAACGUCGCACGACCAAAGAGGGGGACCUUCGGGCCUCCUGCCAUCGGAUGUGCCCAGAUGGGAUUAGCUUGUUGGUGAGGUAAAGGCUCACCAAGGCGACGAUCCCUAGCUGGUCUGAGAGGAUGACCAGCCACACUGGAACUGAGACACGGUCCAGACUCCUACGGGAGGCAGCAGUGGGGAAUAUUGCACAAUGGGCGCAAGCCUGAUGCAGCCAUGCCGCGUGUGUGAAGAAGGCCUUCGGGUUGUAAAGCACUUUCAGCGGGGAGGAAGGCGGUGAGUUUAAUAAGCUCACCGAUUGACGUUACCCGCAGAAGAAGCACCGGCUAACUCCGUGCCAGCAGCCGCCGUAA